UUAAAUGAAACCAAAAAUAGAGGUAUGCUAUUGUUAAUAGUAUUUAGAGUAAAACUCCAUUUAAA
rnacentral:tRNA from 1 species